ACUCCGGGAAACCGGGGCUAAUACCGGAUAACAUUUUGAACUGCAUGGUUCGAAAUUGAAAGGCGGCUUCGGCUGUCACUUAUGGAUGGACCCGCGUCGCAUUAGCUAGUUGGUGAGGUAACGGCUCACCAAGGCAACGAUGCGUAGCCGACCUGAGAGGGUGAUCGGCCACACUGGGACUGAGACACGGCCCAGACUCCUACGGGAGGCAGCAGUAGGGAAUCUUCCGCAAUGGACGAAAGUCUGACGGAGCAACGCCGCGUGAGUGAUGAAGGCUUUCGGGUCGUAAAACUCUGUUGUUAGGGAAGAACAAGUGCUAGUUGAAUAAGCUGGCACCUUGACGGUACCUAACCAGAAAGCCACGGCUAACUACGUGCCAGCAGCCGCGGUAAUACGUAGGUGGCAAGCGUUAUCCGGAAUUAUUGGGCGUAAAGCGCGCGCAGGUGGUUUCUUAAGUCUGAUGUGAAAGCCCACGGCUCAACCGUGGAGGGUCAUUGGAAACUGGGAGACUUGAGUGCAGAAGAGGAAAG
rnacentral:rRNA from 1 species